CACACCCAGCUGUCGGCUGUUACAAAAUGUAGUGGUCUACAGCAGUAUCACGUAGGUAGGGGCCCCAUGUGCAUGUGUUUUUCUUACACCGGCCAAUCAGCCACCCCAGGGGGAAGCCGGAAGCAAAAGCCUUAGGAAGGGCACUGUUUCCGGCCCCUGUCUCCCUGCGUCCGCUGGCCGAGCUCCCCCGAAGCUUCCGGACUCCCUGCAGCUGCCUGUUGGCAACCCCGACUCUCAGGUCCUGAUUACAUUUCCUGCUCCCUGCUCGCAGAGCUGUUCCUGAGAGUUGGAAUGGCACCGGCCCCAGCCUUGUCCAGACUCUCUGGGAGUGACCAAGCUGGUAGUGUGUGCUCCAAUCCAAGAUGAGGCUGCUGGAACUCCUGGGUCCCGAUGGAAAGUCCUGCCCUCCUCCCAGCACACAAGAGAAGGCCCGACUUUGCAGGUGUUUGGAAAUUGGGGUUAGGGUUAACUCUUUCCUCGCAUCAGUUUACACCUGCCUCCACCCAGAGGCAUUCACUUUGGUACCCUUGAGCCACCAUGUAAGACAUCUGCUUACUCCUUCGGAGUAGCUGCUUGGACAGCUGUUGGUCGAAGACUAUAUAUAGACAACAUCCCAGUUAAGCUUCCAGAUGAUACCAAGCCCAGCUCCCAUCUUCAAUAACAUAAAAGACUCCGAAGACACCAGCAGAAGCAUCCAGCUAAGCCAAUUCAACCUAUAGAACUAUGAGGCCAAAGAUCAAACUUCGGCUGUCACCUUGUAGAUAAGGCAUCUGAUGUAAUCCAGAUUUGUACACAUUUCUGCACAGGGAAGCUCACCGUUCAGCUGUCCCGGGAACAGGAAAGCUGGCUCUUGCCUGGGACCCUUAUUUAUUUUGCCGUGGAACGCUCAGCCAAGCCCUGGGGACGGGUUGAAGAAUUUUGGUUGAUUUAUGUUUGAGUUCACCAAUUCUCCCACCGUCUUCCUUCUAUCAAGUCAUCCAGUGAGU